GAGUUUGAUCGUGGCUCAGGACGAACGCUGGCGGCAUGCCUAACACAUGCAAGUCGAACGGAGAUUAUUUCGGUAAUCUUAGUGGCGAACGGGUGAGUAACGCGUAGGCAACCUGCCCUUUAGUUGGGGACAACAUCCCGAAAGGGGUGCUAAUACCGAAUGUGACAGUUUUCUCGCAUGAGAUUACUGUGAAAGAUGGCCUCUAUUUAUAAGCUAUCGCUAAAGGAUGGGCCUGCGUCUGAUUAGCUAGUUGGUGGGUAACGGCCUACCAAGGCGAUGAUCAGUAGCCGGUCUGAGAGGAUGAACGGCCACAUUGGGACUGAGACACGGCCCAAACUCCUACGGGAGGCAGCAGUGGGAAUAUUGCACAAUGGGCGAAAGCCUGAUGCAGCGACGCCGCGUGAGCGAUGAAGUAUUUCGGUAUGUAAAGCUCUAUCAGCAGGGAAGAAAAUGACGGUACCUGACUAAGAAGCCCCGGCUAACUACGUGCCAGCAGCCGCCGUAAG
rnacentral:rRNA from 1 species